AUUGAACGCUGGCGGCAUGCCUUACACAUGCAAGUCGAACGGCAGCACGGGUGCUUGCACCUGGUGGCGAGUGGCGAACGGGUGAGUAAUACAUCGGAACGUACCUUAUCGUGGGGGAUAACGCAGCGAAAGCUGUGCUAAUACCGCAUACGCCCUGAGGGGGAAAGCGGGGGAUCGCAAGACCUCGCGCGAUUAGAGCGGCCGAUGCCUGAUUAGCUUGUUGGUGGGGUAAAAGCCCACCAAGGCGACGAUCAGUAGCUGGUCUGAGAGGACGAUCGGCCACACGGGGACUGAGACACGGCCCAGACUCCGACGGGAGGCAGCAGUGGGGAAUUUUGGACAAUGGGGGCAACCCUGCUCCAGCAAUGCCGCGUGAGUGAAGAAGGCCUUCGGGUUGUAAAGCUCUUUUGUCAGGGAAGAAACACCGGCUCUAACACAGUCCGGGAAUGACGGUACCUGAAGAAUAAGCACCGGCUAACUACGUGCCAGCCGCCGCCGUAA
rnacentral:rRNA from 1 species